UGUCGUUUUUGUGUUUUAGGUGGUUAGUGUGUGUCGUUUUAUAGUUUUACGAUGUAACUUUGUGUGAUUUUUAUUGGUUUGAGGGAUAAAACAAAUCCAAAAGCCCAAAUCUAUAGUUUUCUUUCUCUUUUCCGUAACCCUAAAUCGAGUCUCUCGCUCUCUCUUGGCUCUCUGCAGAGCAAAAUCGUCGACUGUCAAGUUUCUUACGAGUCUCAUCUCUCUGUCUCUAGUUUCGAUCUCUCCUCGACUCUCUAUCUCUCUCAUGGCUGAGUCUUGCUCGAUAAACCAGAACAUGGGCUCUAUGUAAAUUCGAGUGUUGGUACGAGGGGGCAGUUUACCAUAUGAAAUUUCAGAGGAGAGGAUUCAAGUCAGGGGAAGAAAGAAUUCUUCUAUCGUAGAGGCUCUAUGUAAUUUGUUUUCAAGUUUGAUUUUAGUUUGAACAAGAACUUAUGGUUUGUUUGCCAGAUCUUUAACUUAUUGUUUGGUGUUUGUCGGGUUAAAACUUGAUCGUGUGUUUGUCA